rnacentral:tRNA from 1 species
GGGGGGAUGGUGUAGUGGUAAAACACUAAUAGGUGCGACUAAUAGAGUCGGCAGGUUCGAAUCCUGCUCCUCCCA